GACAAAUUUGACUUAAAUUUCAUAAAGGCAACAAUAGUGUUCCAGUUUAGGUUAGGUGGAUAUUACAAUAAUAGCUACAGCUUCAUUGCUUAAGUCGCUGUUUGCAAAGUAGCAAUGAAUUUCAAAAUUGCAGUGUACAGAUACUUCUGAGCGAAAAAUCUCCUUGUCUGGCCAACGAAGAAGAUGGCCUUUGAGCCCCGUCUAAUAAGCUGACAAAUUGGCAUACAAAUCACAAGUCCACACAGAUAGCUCAGCACCUACAUUGUGCUCGCUGGGAGGCCAAGAUGCAGCCAGAGGUGCUGACACAGAGUUUCACCUAUGACAAACAUGUCUUAUCAACAUUUAUGGCACUUUUAUGAGGCGCUGGCGCACUCACGUGCCCGUUAAACUUUGGCGUGAGUUCAGGGAAAGCCAUUGGAGCGCAAAAUGGAGCAAUAAUCCUGGAGAAGUUUACCGAUGAAAAUACGAGGCAGAAGGCAAAGCACCUGAAUAAUAAAUAGGAGCGGUGCGGGUAACUCGGUAAAAUCACACGCUUUUCCUUUCACGUGUUUAACUUGUUCGUCCUUUAAGUUACUACCUCUUCAUAUAUAUGUGAUUAUAAAGAUGCCCCAAGAACGAUUUAACCUUUAACCCCCACAUUAUAUACAGUAUUAGAAGCAUCAUUAUGAUGACGCUCCUAUGUUCUGACGGGUACAAAAAAACUGGCUGCGCAACAAAAAACGUUGAUCCAUUUUCAGAAACAGGCAAGGCCACCAUUCACAUG